UAGGCUGGUCUAUUUGGAAGGACAAACUUUGGAAUGAGAUCAAUCUGAUGCUCGAUCUCUCUGAUUGGUGGCAAUCCUUUUGGUAACUCUUCCGGAAACACAUCUGUAAAUUCUUUCAAGAUCUCCUUCAUUUGCGGUGGAAGGGAGACUUCUUCACUUGGAACCUGCUUAGCUACAAGAACAAAAAUAAUUUCAUGGUUAGUCAAAACUCGCUUCACUUCCCCC
rnacentral:lncRNA from 1 species